AUUGAACGCUGGCGGAAUGCUUUACACAUGCAAGUCGAACGGCAGCACGGACUUCGGUCUGGUGGCGAGUGGCGAACGGGUGAGUAAUGUAUCGGAACGUGCCCAGUCGUGGGGGAUAACGUAGUGAAAAUUACGCUAAUACCGCAUACGAGCGAUGGAUGAAAGCGGGGGAUCGCAAGACCUCGCGCGAUUGGAGCGGCCGAUAUCAGAUUAGGUAGUUGGUGGGGUAAAGGUCCACCAAGCCAACGAUCUGUAGCUGGUCUGAGAGGACGACCGGCCACACUGGAAAUGAGACACGGUCCAGAAUACUACGGGAGGCAGCAGUGGGGAAUUUUGGACAAUGGGCGAAAGCCUGAUUCAGCCAUUCCGCGUGCAGGAUGAAGGCCCUCGGGUUGUAAACUGCUUUUGUACAGAACGAAAAGGUUUCUACUGAUACUAGGAGCUCAUGACGGUACUGUAAGAAUAAGCACCGGCUAACUACGUGCCAGCAGCCGCGGUAA
rnacentral:rRNA from 1 species